CAUGCAAGUCGAACGAGACCUUCGGGUCUAGUGGCGCACGGGUGCGUAACGCGUGGGAACCUGCCUUGAGGUUCGGAAUAACUCAGAGAAAUUUGAGCUAAUACCGGAUGAUGUCUUCGGACCAAAGAUUUAUCGCCUUUAGAUGGGCCCGCGUUGGAUUAGCUAGUUGGUGGGGUAAAGGCCUACCAAGGCGACGAUCCAUAGCUGGUCUGAGAGGAUGAUCAGCCACACUGGGACUGAGACACGGCCCAGACUCCUACGGGAGGCAGCAGUGGGGAAUAUUGGACAAUGGGCGAAAGCCUGAUCCAGCAAUGCCGCGUGAGUGAUGAAGGCCUUAGGGUUGUAAAGCUCUUUUACCAGGGAUGAUAAUGACAGUACCUGGAGAAUAAGCUCCGGCUAACUCCGUGCCAGCAGCCGCGGUAAUACAGAGGGUGCGAGCGUUGUUCGGAAUUACUGGGCGUAAAGCGCGCGCAGGCGGUCCUUUAAGUCUACCCGUGAAAUGCCGGAGCUCAACUCCGUGCACGCCGGGGGAUACUGGAGGACUGGAGACGAGUAGAGGCAAGCGGAAUUCCGGGUGUAGCGGUGGAAUGCGUAGAGAUCCGGAAGAACACCGGAGGCGAAGGCGGCUUGCUGGGCUUGGUCUGACGCUGA
rnacentral:rRNA from 1 species